rnacentral:rRNA from 1 species
AACGACUCUCGGCAACGGAUAUCUCGGCUCUCGCAUCGAUGAAGAACGUAGCGAAAUGCGAUACUUGGUGUGAAUUGCAGAAUCCCGUGAACCAUCGAGUCUUUGAACGCAAGUUGGGCCCGAAGCCUUCUGGCCGAGGGCACGUCUGCCUGGGCGUCACGC